rnacentral:rRNA from 1 species
UACGAAGGGGGCUAGCGUUGCUCGGAAUCACUGGGCGUAAAGCGCACGUAGGCGGAUUGCUAAGUCAGGGGUGAAAUCCGGGAGCUCAACUCCAGAACUGCCUUUGAUACUGGCGACCUUGAGUCCGGGAGAGGUGAGUGGAACUGCGAGUGUAGAGGUGAAAUUCGUAGAUAUUCGCAAGAACACCAGUGGCGAAGGCGGCUCACUGGCCCGGUACUGACGCUGAGGUGCGAAAGCGUGGGGAGCAAACAGG